GACAGAGGUGCCGAGCGUUAGGCGGAAUCACUGGGCUUAAAGCGUGUGUAGGUGGAUGCCUAAGUACCUUGUGAAGUCCCACGGCUUAACCGUGGAACUGCUUGGUAUACUGGGUGUCUUGAGCCAGCUAGGGGCUACCGUAACAAAUGGUGGAGCGGUGAAAUGCGUAGAUAUCAUUUGGAACGCCAAUGGUGAAAACAGGUAGCUGGGGCUGUGCUGACACUGAGACACGAAAGCCAGGGGAGCAAACGGG
rnacentral:rRNA from 1 species